rnacentral:rRNA from 1 species
CCCUUAGAUGUUCUGGGCCGCACGCGCGCUACAAUGGCAGACUCAGCGAGUUACCUCUGUCGAAAGGCACAGGGAAUCUUUACAGUAUCUGCCGUGAUGGGGAUAGACCCUUGUAAUUUUUGGUCUUCAACGAGGAAUUCCUAGUAAACGCAAGUCAUUAACUUGCAUUGAUUACGUCCCUGCCCUUUGUACACACCGCCCGUCGCGCCUACCGAUUGAAUGGUCCGGUGAAGUCCUCGGACCCAGUUGAACCUCGAGUUGAACAGGGAAAGUUGACUAAAUCUUACCAUUUAGAGGAAGGUGAAGUCGUAACA